UUUGUACUCCCUCCGUCCCAAAAUUCUUGUCUUAAAUUUGUCUAAAUACGGAUGUAUCUAGUUACAUUUUAGUGUUAGAUACAUCCGUAUCUAAACAAAUGUAAGACAAGAAUUUUUGGGAUGGAGGGAAUACUAC
rnacentral:pre_miRNA from 1 species